UUAGUUUAAAAGGUAGCGGAAAAGCGUCUGAAAAUUUUUUUUUUUUGAAAAUCUGACCCCAGAGUGUGCCAGAUCCGCCACAAAUACAGGAGUUCCACUGUUCACACGGACAGAGUCUCCCCUGUAUUUGCACGGCGUCGCACAAGUACAACAGAGUAUAGAUACACACACAAUCACAACCAUAACCAGAUGAACAACAAGAUAGAUAACAUUCAUCCAUUCCAUUUACACACACAGAUAUGAUACUUGAAUUAUGAAUAACAUUCCACAUCUAUCAGUUAAAAUGUUUCCUACCUGGAAACCGAUCUUGAAAUACUAAAUCCAUAAAACCACAGGGAAAUCAAUUUGAAAACUAAUCCCCACACGGGAACCAUUCUUUUUCAAACCAGCUACCACGGGGGGGUAGAAAACUGUUUUAUUUCAAGAAAACUCAAAUCCUUUAGUACAUUUCGAAACCAAUUGAAAACCCAGAUUGUUAGAUAAUAAAAUAGAACUAAACCAUAAUAUGUCUAAGUAUUUAUUCAAGCAUGAAGGGUAAAAGGAAUAACCGACUCGGGAAGGAGCUCUAUCGCACGCUAGACACGCUCCUCACCAGCUGUCCCACUCGGUCCUGCUACGUCACCUGUAAUGGGGGCGGGGGGUGAGAACAUGUAAACAUGUCUCCCCUCCCAGUGGGUACCGCAAGCCGAAGAAGGCGAGGGGUACUCACUAGUCACGGAGAUAAACAAAUAUAUGGAUAAUGGUAGUACAGUAGCUAAAAUAAACAAGUACUGAAAUGAAUAUAAAUGAACAACUACAGCUACUGUAUGUAUGCAUCAACGGGACAAUCAGUCCAAAAGUACCCAAUCUGAACCACUGCUCUCUUGGUCAGCACCGCAGACCUCAAGCCAAUGCCACUACUACUCUCCAGUGCAUAUAACCCCUCUAGGGCUCACGGGUUGUCACCAUUCAACCACUUUUCCGGAAAAGAACACUCCUUGCGGUGGAUCAGACCGCCAGUGUUCGUGAAAUGCGACGAGUAUCGGGCGAUCAAUGCAAUAUGCUCAAUGAUCAACCGUCGGCAACCAGCCGACAAUCCUGCCCCCCAGGGCCCAUCGACCGCAUGGGUCAUCACGUAACCAAAUCGACCAACCAGGUCACAAGUAUGAAGUAUGAAACUCGACCAACCAGGUCAUAGAUACAACAAAGGAGAAUCAACCAACCAGAUCACAGAUAUCAUAUGCUGAAGAAAUCUACUCUACUCCUACACAAGAUACCGAGCAUGGAAACAACCGAGUAGAGUAAUACGAGGAUAAUAUGAUAGGCAAUGUAUAUGAUAAGCAAUGUAAAUAGGAAGGGUGGAAGGAACGUCACCGAGCGUGCACCACUGUAUCGACGUCGGGUCGAAGUACCCACCUGUACGUAUCCGACGAAAGUCUCUCGACUGUGAAGACGGUGCAACCGAACCUACGAAAGGUCCAACGGUUUAAGGUCUAACCCACUGACAUGAAAAGCUAACUCACAACCCCCGCUCAUAGCCCCACAAAAACAGUUUCCCAAAUUAGCUUACCGUACAAACCGGAAGUCCCGAAAACCGCACCGGAACUUCGCUGUCGCUCACCUGUCGUUUCCAAACCCACGAAACGAUGCAGGUGACCAGCCAACAAGGCUCAGCGACUAAACAAAUGAUCCCCAAGGACCAUCGGAAGAAUUCCGAAUCGAAAACGCGUUCUAUCGGCGGAUUUCGCCGAAAAACGCUCCGGAAAUCACUUUACGAUUUCCGCAAA
rnacentral:lncRNA from 1 species